CAGCCGCCGCGGUAAUACGAAGGGGGCUAGCGUUGCUCGGAAUCACUGGGCGUAAAGGGUGCGUAGGCGGGUCUUUAAGUCAGAGGUGAAAGCCUGGAGCUCAACUCCAGAACUGCCUUUGAUACUGGAGAUCUCGAGUUCGGGAGAGGUGAGUGGAACUGCGAGUGUAGAGGUGAAAUUCGUAGAUAUUCGCAAGAACACCAGUGGCGAAGGCGGCUCACUGGCCCGAUACUGACGCUGAGGCACGAAAGCGUGGGGAGCAAACAGGAUUAGAGACCCGGGUAGUCCCUGUCUCUUAUAC
rnacentral:rRNA from 1 species